CGGCGUCAUCUUUUAUGGGAUCUUAUGGGGUCCUAUGGGUUCUUAUGAGGUCUUAUGGGGUCUCAUGGGGUCUUAUGGUGCUGUGGGGGUCCUAUGGGGUCUUAUGGAGCCCUAUAUGGCUGGGGGGGUCCUAUGGGUUCUUAUGGGGUCUCAUUGGGUUUUAUGGGGUCCUAUGGGGUCCUAUGGAGUCCUAUGGUGUCCUAUGGGGUCCUAUGGGGUCCUAUGGGGUCCUAUGGUGUCCUAUGGGGUCUUAUGGUGCUGUGGGGGUCCUAUGGGAUCCUAUGGGGUCCUCCACCCCCCAGACCCGCGAGGAGUGGCAGUGGGUUUUCCUUAUCGCCUCCCUGGUCCAUUACGGCGGCGUCAUCUUUUAUGGGAUCUUAUGGGGCUGGGGGGGUCCUAUGGGGUCUUAUGGGUUCUUAUGGGUCUUAUGGGGCACCUAUGGUGUUUCAUGGGGUCCUAUGGGUCUUAUGGGGUUCUAUGGGGUCUUAUGGGGCUGGGGGGGGUCCUAUGGGGUCUUAUGGUGUCUCAUGGGGUCUUAUGGGAUUGGGGGUUCCUAUAGGGUCCUAUGGUAUCUUAUGGGGUCUUAUGGUGUCUCAUGGAGUCUUAUGGGGUCUUAUGGGGUCUUAAGGGGCUGGGGGCGUCCUAUGGGGUCCUAUGGGGUCUCAUUGGUUUUAAGGGGUCCUAUGGGUUCUUAUGGGAUCUUAUGGGGCUGGGGGGGUCCUAUGGGGUCUUAUGGGGUCCUAUGGGGUCUUAUGGGAUCCUAUGGUGUCCUAUGGGGCUGGGGGGGUCCUAUGGGUUCCUAUGGGGUCCUAUGGGGUCUUAUGGUGUCUCAUGGGUUCUUAUGGGGCUGGGGGGGUCCUAUGGGGUCCUAUGGGGUCUUAUGGGGUCUUAUGGGGUCCUAUGGGGUCCUCUGGGGUCUUAUGGGGUCCUAUGGUGUCCUAUGGGAUCUUAUGGGGUCUUAUGGGGUCCUAUGGGGUCCUAUGGAGUCCUAUGGGGCUGGGGGGGUCCUAUGGGGUCCUAUGGGGUCUUAUGGGGCUGGGGGGAUCCUAUGGAGUCCUAUGGGGUCUUAUGGGGUCCUAUGGAGUCCUAUGGGGUCCUAUGGGGUCCUAUGGGGUCCUAUGGGGUCUUAUGGGGCUGGGGGGGUCCUAUGGGGUCUUAUGGUGUCUUAUGGGGUCUUAUGGAGUCCUAUGGGGUCUUAUGGUGUCCUAUGGGGUCCUAUGGGGUCCUAUGGGGCUGGGGGGGUCCUGUGGGGUCUUAUGGAGUCCUAUGGGGUCCUAUGGGGCUGUGGGGGUCCUAUGGGUUCUUAUGGGGUCUCAUUGUGUUUUAUGGGUCCCAGACCCGCGAGGAGUGGCAGUGGGUUUUCCUUAUCGCCUCCCUGGUCCAUUACGGCGGCGUCAUCGCGUCAUUUUUAUGGGAUCUUCGCGUCGGGGGAACUCAGAGUUUGAGCGGAGCCACCGAGGGAGGAGGCGAAACGCUGGCCCGGGGGGGGCGGGGGACGAGGAAGAGGAUGAAGA
rnacentral:lncRNA from 1 species